rnacentral:rRNA from 1 species
UACGGGGGGGGGCAAGCGUUGUUCGGAAUUACUGGGCGUAAAGGGCUCGUAGGCGGCCAACUAAGUCAGACGUGAAAUCCCUCGGCUUAACCGGGGAACUGCGUCUGAUACUGGAUGGCUUGAGUGUGGGAGAGGGAUGCGGAAUUCCGAGGUGUAGCGGUGAAAUGCGUAGAUAUCGGAGGAACACCGGUGGCGAAGGCGGCAUCCUGGACCACGACUGACGCUGAGGAGCGAAAGCCAGGGGAGCAAAGCGGGG